ensembl:lncRNA
CAGUGAACCCCACACACCCUAACCCCCACCCCACGCUGACUCACCCAGGAACGGCCCGCGUGUUGGGGCGGGAGCGAGGAGUUCGCUCUCGGUGGUAAACACGCUCAAAACAGCUAGCAUUAUUGCCGUGUUGCGUCACCUAGCAUUAUGUAGCAUCAUGGGGUAAUAUGUAGCAUCACGUAGCAUUAUGUAGCAUGAUGAGGUGUGAUGUAGCGUCACCUAGCAUUAUGUAGCAUGAUGAGGUAUGAUGUAGCGUCACCUAGCAUUAUGUAGCAUGAUGAGGUGUGAUGUAGUGUCACCUAGCAUUAUGUAGCCUAAUAUAGUGUCAGGUAGCAUCAGGAAGCC